rnacentral:rRNA from 1 species
CAAUAGCGUAUAUUUAAGUUGUUGCAGUUAAAAAGCUCGUAGUUGGAUUUCGGGUGGGACGCAGCGGUCUCGCAUUGCGUUUGUACUGCUGCAGCCCUCCUUCUUGCCGGGGGCGGCCUCUCGGACUUCACUGUCUGGGGGUCAGAAUCGGCGAUGUUACUUUGAGUAAAUUAGAGUGUUCAAAGCAAGCUUACGCUCUGAAUAUAAUAGCAUGGGAUAACACGAUAGGACUCUGGCUUAUCUUGUUGGUCUGUGAGACCAGAGUAAUGAUUAAGAGGGACAGUCGGGGACAUUCGUAUUUCAUUGUCAGAGGUGAAAUUCUUGGAUUUAUGAAAGACGAACUUCUGCGAAAGCAUUUGUCAAGGAUGUUUUCAUUA